rnacentral:misc_RNA from 1 species
CAGAGUUCAUGCCCUUCGGGGUAGACCUCCAACCCAGUGUAUAUAAACCUUUGUUGCCUUGGUAGGCCGCUGGGCUUCGGCCUAGCUCCUGGCUCCGGCUGGGGAGUGCCUGCCAGAGGACCUUAAAACCUGAAUGUUAGUGUCGUCUGAGUACUAUAUAAUAGUUA